UACGUAGGUGGCGAGCGUUGUCCGGAUUUACUGGGCGUAAAGGGAGCGUAGGCGGACUUUUAAGUGAGAUGUGAAAUACCCGGGCUUAACUUGGGUGCUGCAUUUCAAACUGGAAGUCUAGAGUGCAGGAGAGGAGAAUGGAAUUCCUAGUGUAGCGGUGAAAUGCGUAGAUAUUAGGAGGAACACCAGUUGCGAAGGCGGCUCUCUGGACUGUAACUGACACUGAGGCACGAAAGCGUGGGGAGCAAACAGGAUUAGAUACCCUGGUA
rnacentral:rRNA from 1 species